UACGGAGGGGGCUAGCGUUGUUCGGAAUUACUGGGCGUAAAGGGCGCGUAGGCGGUGCGGUAAGUUAGGCGUGAAAGGCCCGGGCUCAACCCGGGAACUGCGCUUGAGACUGCCGCGCUCUGAGUCCGAGAGAGGAUAGCGGAAUUCCCAGUGUAGAGGUGAAAUUCGUAGAUAUUGGGAAGAACACCAGUGGCGAAGGCGGCUAUCUGGCUCGGUACUGACGCUGAGGCGCGAAAGCGUGGGGAGCAAA
rnacentral:rRNA from 1 species